UACAGAGGUCUCAAGCGUUGUUCGGAUUCAUUGGGCGUAAAGGGUGCGUAGGUGGCGCGCUAAGUCAGGUGUGAAAUCUCGGAGCUUAACUCCGAAACUGCAUUUGAUACUGGCGUGCUUGAGGACUGGAGAGGAGACUGGAAUUCACGGUGUAGCGGUGAAAUGCGCAGAUAUCAGGAGGAACACCGGUGGCGAAGGCGGUUCUCUGGGCCUUACCUGACGCUGAGGAGCGAAAGCGUGGGGAGCAAACAGG
rnacentral:rRNA from 1 species